GGCAAGGAGCACCAUGCUUGGCACAUGGAAAGAGCUUAGUAAAUAGUAGCUACUCUUAUUAGUCUGUUGUGGAGCUAAUUGGGAAUGAACAUGACUUAUUCACACAGUGAGGAGUGCUCAACCAGCCUGUCUUGUUAGUCUCUUUGUUAACCACCUUGCAACUGGAAUUUUUCUCUUUUGCCCUUCAAAUGCAUCUAAUCUGAGGAUUCCCUCCAGCCUCCUGCUGGCUGCAAAAAUCCAGCAGGAAUCUGCUUCUGCAGGGGCUGGCUUCCCAUCUGGCUGGAAUCACCCGCCAGCCACCCACAGCACGAGCACCUCACAAAUUAGGGAGAUCAGGAGCAGCCACUUCAGACAGUUCGCAGGCCGCAGGGUGCCGAUUGGUGGCAGAACCACUUGCUGAAGCUGAAAUUAACAGGUUUCUUGGGUUGAAGGCUUUAAUUAAAAAAUGCUAGGGAAUUAUUUCCUUAAUUCAGAGACUUCUUAGUAAUCACUUUCCCCUGCUUUGCCCUGAGACUCUUUAUCUUCAGCUAGAUUAAUAGAUGGUCUCAACAGCCUGAGCACAGGACCUGAGGCUGGAGUUUUGGGUUGUCAAAUGAGGUGGGUGCUCUUCAAGGCUCCGUUCUGGGGUUCCAGACCUCUUCAGGCUGCGUGUUGCCUUCGGUCCCCUGAAUUAGGUGAAUGGCUUAGCUGACUCGGGCUGCCAUUACAGAACGCCUUAGACUGGCGGCUGAAAUAACAGAAAUUGGUUCCCUCACAGUUCUGGAGGUUGGAAGUCUAAGAUCAAAGAGCUGGUGAGUCUGUUCUUUCCUGAGGCCUCCCCACUUGACAUGCAGAAAAACAUCUUCUGGCUGGCUCUUUACAUGGUCACCCCUUGAUCUAUGUUGUCUGUGUCCUAAUCUUUCUUUUUAUAAGGAUACCAGUCACACUGGAUUGGGCUUCCUAGGUAGCGCUAGUGGUAAAGAACCCAUCUGUCAGGCCAGGAGACAUAUAACUACUUGUUUUCCUCAUUGAUCCUCUUGCCAGCUGCUGUCACCCUUUAAUUGGGAGCCGCUCUUGAAAAGAACUCUGCGUGGCAGGAGGGAGGCAGGAAGAAAAGCAGUGAAGUCACUCAGACCUUGGUUAGAAUCCCGGCUCUGCACUUCCUCAAAUAGUGCCAUCCGAUAGGAACUAAGACUCUCCUCCUCGGCACAGCUCUGAGGGAGGCCGCAGAAGGACAUGGAAUGAGCCUCCCCAACUGUGUUUCCUUAAACACGGAAACCUGAAGACAAGAGCCCUGCAGGGCCCAGGGCAGUCUGCGCUGCGUCCCUCUGUCCCUUCGGUCCCUGCCGCUGAGAGGCUUCCCCAGGAAGCCACACAACCAGGAUGAUCACAUGCUGAGCACCUGCUCUGUGCUAGGC
ensembl:lncRNA